rnacentral:rRNA from 1 species
UACGUAGGUGGCAAGCGUUAUCCGGAAUUAUUGGGCGUAAAGAGCGCGCAGGUGGUUGAUUAAGUCUGAUGUGAAAGCCCACGGCUUAACCGUGGAGGGUCAUUGGAAACUGGUCGACUUGAGUGCAGAAGAGGGAAGUGGAAUUCCAUGUGUAGCGGUGAAAUGCGUAGAGAUUAGGAAGAACACCAGUGGCGAAGGCGGGUAACUGGACUGCAACUGACGCUGAGGCGCGAAAGUGUGGGGAGCAAACAGGAUUAGAUACCCGGGUA